AGAGUUUGAUCCUGGCUCAGAACGAACGCUGGCGGCAAGCUUAACACAUGCAAGUCGAACGGACCGUAUACGCAGCUUGCUGCGUGUAUGGUUAGUGGCAGACGGGUGAGUAAUGCAUAGGAAUCUACCUAGUAGUAUGGGAUAGCCACUAGAAAUGGUGGGUAAUACUGUAUAAUCCCUGCGGGGGAAAGAUUUAUCGCUAUUAGAUGAGCCUAUGUCAGAUUAGCUAGUUGGUGGGGUAAUGGCCUACCAAGGCGGUGAUCUGUAGCUGGUCUGAGAGGAUGAUCAGCCACACUGGAACUGAGACACGGUCCAGACUCCUACGGGAGGCAGCAGUGGGGAAUAUUGGACAAUGGGCGCAAGCCUGAUCCAGCUAUGCCGCGUGAGUGAGGAAGGCCUUAGGGUUGUAAAACUCUUUCAGUAGGGAAGAUAAUGACGGUACCUACA
rnacentral:rRNA from 1 species